GACGAACGCUGGCGGCGUGCCUAAUACAUGCAAGUCGAACGCAGUGGGGACGGGUGAGUAACACGUGGGUAACCUCCCAUCAGAGGGGAUAACACUUGGAAACAGGUGCUAAACCGAUACGGAUGGAAGGAGCAGCGGUGCAAUUGAUAGUUGGUGAGGUAACGGCUCACCAAGGCCACGAUGCCUAGACGACCUGAGAGGGUGAUCGGCCACACUGGGACUGAGACACGGCCCAGACUCCGACGGGAGGCAGCAGUAGGGAAUCUUCGGCAAUGGACGAAAGUCUGACCGAGCAACGCCGCGUGAGUGAAGAAGGUUUUCGGAUCGUAAAACUCUGUUGUUAGAGAAGCGGUAUCUAACCAGAAAGCCACGGCUAACUACGUGCCAGCAGCCGCGGGAAUUC
rnacentral:rRNA from 1 species